CCCUGCGCCUCACUUCGUCAUUUACCCAGCUCUCUCUCGCCGCCCACCAUUACCAUCUCAGUUUCCACACCUGACCCCUGCCAUCACCGCCUCCCUCUCCGGCUCUCCCCUUAAGAAGAAGUGAAUUUGAGCGUGGAGGAGUCCGGCCGUGCCUUCACAUCUCAGUUCAGAGAAUCAAAACUUCUCCCUUCUACCGAGAACGGAGCUUUGAUAAGGUAAAUAGGGUUCCAUCUUUUCAACUCGAAAAAACUCGUUUUCAAUGUGAAUUAAUUUUGUCCCUUAAUUUUCAAUGCAAAAUUGCAAGAUUUGGAUCGAAAAUCGGCGACCCAUUGGCUGAAAUUGGUUGAAUUUUGGGUUGGGGAAGCGGACGAUGCUCUGUUGGGUGUUUUUGUUGCAGUGACGGGAUGAACGGGGUUUCGAAAGAAUUGAAACCCUGGGAGGGUUGAAGGUGGAGAAGAAGAAAAUGCAUUAUUGCUGUAUUUGGUUUUUUCACUUUUGUUAUGGUGACUCUGAGAGUAAAUGUGAGACCUGAGUCAUUCGUUAUUGUGCAUUUUGAGAUUGAGUGAAAUUAAAGAAGAUAAAUAUCACAUGAAAAUUAAAACGGGUUUAAAGAUCGUGGAGUAUUAUGUGGGAUUCAAAAGAAA